GCACCUUCCUGGGAGGGGAGACGCUGUGAUUGUGGAGGGGUUUUUCCCAGGAUGAUGCUUAUUCAUUCAUUGUACACUGGAUGCCCCGACCCCUGUGAUUUCCUCAAAUGUGGGAAACUCUAUUGUGUAAUUUGUGGUAGUGUGUUUGGGUUCUCCCCUUAAAAAA
ensembl:snRNA U1 U1 spliceosomal RNA